AGGCUGAAAUUCGCCUGUAUGAAGCCGGAAUUGCUAGUAAUGGCAGGUCAGCAUACUGCCGUGAAUACGUUCCCGGGCCUUGUACACACCGCCCGUCACACCAUGAGAGUUGGGGAUACCCAAAGCCCGUGAGCCAACUUAUAAGAGGCAGCGGUCUAAGGUAGAAUCAAUGAUUGGGGUGAAGUCGUAACAAGGUACC
rnacentral:rRNA from 1 species